GUCUAAUUGGUGGCUAGUUCCAUACUUUUUAAGUUUGGAGUAUUUAAUUUUUUUAAAUAUUAGUCAGGGUUAGUUUCUUCUCAUUGCCAUAGUUUUUAAAGUUUCUAUUUUUAACCAUUUUUCUAAGUAGAUUUUAAAUCACUUAUCAAAUGUUUAUAUAUUCCUCUUGGGAUUUUGGUUGCUAUUGUGUUAAACCCAUAAAUUAAUGUGGGAAAAAUUGGUAACUUUUAAAUAUAUAUCUAAUUGAUUAGUGUUACUGUUCAGGAGGAAUUGAUUCUUGAUACUCAUUUUAUAUUCAGUCACUUCACAGAACUCUUACUUAGAUAGCUUUCCAGGUGAUUAUCAAAGGGUUUUUUAGAUGUAUAGUACAAUCUUACCAUUUCUAAUGAUGUUUUUGUUGUCUUUCCAAUAAUUAUACCUUAUUUUUGUGUCUUAUUUUAUUAAACUGAACUUAUGAAAUAAUAUUAGAAGGCAAAAGCAUACUUCCUAAUUAUAUAAAUAAUUAAAAUUUUCUUUUAAUAACUUUUAUUUUGGAGGAAACAGAAGUAGUAUCUUGGAUUGUGAUACCAAAAAGAAUAACAACAACCAUUUAACUUAUCUUAUUCAAAGCUAGUAUUAAGGUAGUUUAUGACAAACCAAAACAUGUAUAUAAGAUGUACUACUAAGAUUGAUAGGAAAUAUUUGGAGGUAGUGUGAAGUUCUCCUAAGUUUGAUUACUUUUAUUAUUAUUUAUUUGAUUGAGGUCGCUUUGGUUUAUAACAUUGUAUAAAUUUCAGGUACACAUCAUUAUAUUUUAAUUUCUAUGUAGAGUGCAUUGAGUUCACCACCAAAAGUGUAGUUUCUCUCUGUCGCCAUACACGUGUGCCCCUUUACCCCUUUUGCCCCCCAGCCCUCUACCACCUGCUGCUCUGGUAACCACCACUCUGUUCUCCUUAUCUGUGUGUUUAUCUUCCACAUAGGAGUGAAGUCAUAUGGUAAUUGUCUUUCUCUGUGUGACUUAUUUUGCUUAGCAUAAUACUCUCAAGAUCCAUCAGUGUUGUCACAAAUGGCACUAUUUCAUCUUUUUUUAUGGCUGAGUAGUAUUCCAUUGUGUAUAUAUACAUAUACCACAUCUUCUUUAUCUGUUUAUCCAUUGAUGGGCACUUAGGGUGCUUCCAAAUCUUGGCUAUUGUGAGUAAUGCUACAGUGAACAUAGAGGUGCAUAUAUCUUUUCAAAUUAGUGUUUUCAUGUUCUUUAGAUAAAUACCCAGAAGUGGAAUAGCUAGAUCAUAUGGUAUUUUCUAUUUAUAAUUUUCUGAGUAAUCUCCAUACUGUUUUCCGUAGUGGCUGCACCAAUUUACAUUCCCACCAGCAGUGUAUGAGGAUUCCUUUUCCUAUACAUCCUCUUCAACACUUAUUUCUUGUCUUUUUAAUAACAGCCAUUCUUACAGGUGUGAGGUGAUAUCUCAUUGUAGUUUUGAUUACCUUUCCCUAAUAGUUAAUGAUGUUGAACAUCUUUUCAUGUGCCUGUUGGCCAUCUGUUUAUCUUCUUUGGAAAAAUGUCUGUUCUUAUCCUCUGCCCACAUUUUGAUUGGGUUGUUCAUUUUUUUGAUGUUGAGUUAAAUGUUUUUUGAUGUAUUUUGGAUAUUAACCCUUUAUCAGAUAUAUGAUUUGCAAAUAUUUUCUCCCAGUUGGUGAGUUGUCUUCAUUUUCUUGAUGGUUUCCUUGCCAUGCAGAAGCUUUUUGUUUGAAGGACUCCCAUUCAUUUAUUUUUUCUUUUGUUUCCCUUGCCUGAGUAGACAUGAUAUUCAAAAAGAUGCUGCUAAGACUUAUGUCAAAGUGUACUACCUAUGUUUCCUUCUAGGAGUUUUAUGGUUUCAGGCCUUACAUUUAAGUCUUUAAUCCAUUUUGAGUUAAUUUUUGUGUAUGGUGUAAGAUAAUGGUCUAUUUUCAUUCUUUUUCACGUGGCUGUCCAGUUUUCCCAACACCAUCUGUUGAAGUGACUUCACUUUCCUUUCUGCAUUGUAUGUUCUUGGCUCCUUUGUCAGAGAUCAGUUGUCCAUAGAUGUGUGAAUUUAUUUCUGGGCUCUCAAUUGUGUUCCAUUGAUCUGUGUGUCUGCUUUUCUGCCAGUACCAUGCUGUUUUGAUUACUAUAGCUUUGUAGUAUAUUUUGAAAUCAGGGAGUGUGAUACCUCCAGCUUUGUUCUUUUUAUCAGGAUUCCUUUGGCUGUUUGGGGUCUUUUGUUGUUCCACAUAUAUUUUAGGAUUCUUUGUUGUAGUUCAGUGAAAAAUGUCCUUGGGAUUUUGAUAAGGAUUGCAUUGAAUCUGUAGAUUGCUUUAGGUGAUAUAGACAUUUCAACUAUGUUAAUUCUUCCAAUCCGUGAGCACGGAAUAGCUUUCCAUUUCUGUAUGUCUUCUUCAGUUUCUUUCAAUAACGUCUUAUGUUUUCAGUGUAUAGGUCUUUCACCUCCUUGGUUAAAUUUAUUCCUAGGUAUUUUCUUCUUUUUGUCACAAUUGUAAAUGGAAUUGUAUUCUUAAUUUCUCUUUCUGCUAGUUCAUUGUUCGUGUAUAGAAAUGAGACUGAUUUUUAAAUGUUGAUUUUGUACACUGCAAGUUUACGGUACUUGUUAAUUAUUUCUAAUAGUUUUUUGGUGAAUUCUUUAAGGUUUUCUAUAUAUAGAAUCAUGUCAUCUGCAAAUAGUGGCAGUUUUACUUCUCCCUUUCCAAUUUGGAUCCCUCUUCUUUUUCUUGCUUAAUUGCUCUGGCUAGCACUUCCAAUAGUAUGUUGAGUAAGAGUGAUGAAAAUGGGCAUCCUUUUUGGGUUCCUGUUCUUUGAGGGAUGGCUUUCAGUUUUUCGCCAUUGAGUAUGGGUUGGCUGUGGGUUUAUCAUAAAUGGAUGUUGAAUCUCGUCAAGUGCUUUUUCUGUAUCUAUUGAGAUGAUCAUGUGAUUUUUAUUCCUCUUUUUGUUAUUGUGGUGAAUCACAUUUGAUUGAUUUGUGGAUGCUGAGCCAUCCAUGUGCCUGGA
rnacentral:lncRNA from 1 species